rnacentral:rRNA from 1 species
UACGUAGGGUGCGAGCGUUAAUCGGAAUUACUGGGCGUAAAGCGUGCGCAGGCGGUUUUGUAAGUCAGAUGUGAAAUCCCCGGGCUUAACCUGGGAACUGCGUUUGAAACUACAAGGCUAGAGUGUGGCAGAGGGGGGUGGAAUUCCACGUGUAGCAGUGAAAUGCGUAGAGAUGUGGAGGAACACCGAUGGCGAAGACAGCCCCCUGGGUUAACACUGACGCUCAGGCACGAAAGCGUGGGGAGCAAACAGG